rnacentral:rRNA from 1 species
UACGAAGGGGGCUAGCGUUGCUCGGAAUGACUGGGCGUAAAGGGCGCGUAGGCGGUUCACAGAGUCGGGCGUGAAAUUCCUGGGCUUAACCCGGGGGCUGCGUUCGAUACCUGUGGACUGGAGUGAGGAAGAGGGUCGUGGAAUUCCCAGUGUAGAGGUGAAAUUCGUAGAUAUUGGGAAGAACACCGGUGGCGUAGGCGGCGACCUGGUCCUUUACUGACGCUGAGGCGCGAAAGCGUGGGGAGCAAACAGGAUUAGAUACCCUGGUAGUCCACGCCGUAAACGAUGUGCGCUGGAUGUUGGGCGGCCUAGCCGCUCAGUGUCGUAGCUAACGCGGUAAGCGCACCGCCUGGGGAGUACGGCCGCAAGGUUGAA